AUUGAACGCUAGCGGCAGGCCUAACACAUGCAAGUCGAGCGAGCGGCGGACGGGUGAGUAAUGUAUGGGGACUGCCCGAUAGAGGGGGAUAACUACUGGAAACGGUGGCUAAUACCGCAUACUAUCGGAUAACCCAUAUGGGAUUAGCUAGUAGGAGGGGUAACGGCUCACCAAGGCGACGAUCUCUAGCUGGUCUGAGAGGAUGAUCAGCCACACUGGCACUGAGACACGGCCCAGACGCAGACGGAGGCAGCAGUGGUGAAGAUUGCACAAUGGGCGCAAGCCUGAUGCAGCCAUGCGGCGUGUAUGAAGUAGGCCUUAGGGCUGUAAAGUACUUUCAGCGGGGAGGCGUUACCCGCAGAAGAAGCACCGGCUAACUCCGUGCCAGCAGCCGCGGUAAUAC
rnacentral:rRNA from 1 species